AGAAAUUUGCUACUCGAGCUGUAACUACUCAAGCAUUGACCCUUUUAGUGUUUUGUUUACUUUUUGAGGUUUAUCAUCAGGUCUGUACAUGCCCUGUUUUGCAUAAUGCUUCCCAUGCUUUGCUUGAUCCGUUGUUAUGCUGCUUCUAAGCCAAAUGUUCUUAUAUUAUUGGCCCUCCUCUUAAAUUUUGUCACUUUGAAUGUAUAACUGAGUGGUAAUUAAUUGCAAGGUGAUACCAUUAUGAUAAAACUGAAUUUGGAAUAUCUAAUUUAUGCCACUUUAAAUGUAUAACAAUUUAGAACAAAUUUCUUCUUGCAAGAAUGGUUAGAAUAACUGAAUUAUGGUAAAAUUGAUAAUGUGUCGUUGUGAAUGCCGGACUAAGACAUCUCCGACUGGGGCACUUAUGCCCUUCUUAUUCCUCUGUUUCGCACUCUCUAUCGGUAGCUCACUAUAUGCCAUUCAUAUUCCAGGACCUAUUAGGAUACAAAGUUGAUGCUCCAACCAUUAUUUCACUUUCUAAUAUUUUCUUUGCAUCUCUGUUGUCACUUGGUCUAGCCAGUACUUCACUGUGUUUACGUCAAUAGGUCUUUCAGUGAUUGAACAAUUCUUGGUUAAACCCAUAUAUUCAUUUGGCCAUUAUAUCUAUUUGCCUAAAGAUGGUAUGUAUUUGAGUUUAAAGAGCCAGUACAAUAACAAAGUUAUCUCAGUUCUCGAAAGUUAAAUGGACCUUGAACCAUUUGAUCCUAUUUCCGUGGACAAAUUUAUGUUGUGGAACUUGAUGGGGUCAAAUCCAUGUGCCUCCAAAUCAUGCAUUGAAGAUUUAGGGUGGGGUCAAUGCUAUCGUUAGUAGGCAAAGGGCAUUAGUAUGUGUGUGGCGGGAAUGUUUAGACAAUAACUACCAAGAAGAAAGAACUUCUCAGGUUUUCAUCACCUGUGUGAUUAUUAAAAGUGCUCUCCUUGGUUAAUUUUUCUGGCCUCCGGGAGUCAUUUCUGAAUUUAACUACAUUCGUAGGGAUUGCCAUACAAAUUAUGAUAGUUUCAAAAUGACUUCAUCUCCUUAAUCCCAACAUAUCAAUAGAGAAAAAAAUUACCCAGUGGUGUAGUGUGGCUAAUCAAUUGUAGGUGGUUUAAAAGCCCUUGAUGGUAUUGGUGCACCCCUAUGUACUUGACAAUUCCUUCCUCGUUUUUCUCUGUAACACCAUUAGUUCAUUUAUAUGGCAGUGGUAAUUCAAGGAGACGACAAAUGUUAUUGCAUAGUCUACAUUAAAUAUGUCAAAAAGCGUUACUUCAAUGGUCUCAACUGCAUAGACAGUUAUAUUUGGCACAACGGAGGUAUAUAUUUUAACGUACUUUUAUGGUCUCUUUACGUGCCUACAAAAAACCUGGCGAUGGCUACUAUAUUGUUUACGUUGCCACAUAAUUACCGAUGGAUCAUGUCUAUUUCCUGUUUACGUCGCCACAUAAUUACCAAUUUAUUACAUUAGGCAAACUCUUCUACCCGUGACGAGAUUGGUUCAGUUCUUCGUACCUCAACAUUCCUUGCAUGUGUUUCAAGCCUAGACUCAUUGACGCAGGGGGCUCGGUGUCACGUCUGGUGGCCAAGCACGAAGUCAAAGCUACACAUGCUGCUAAUGGUUGGAGCUAUAUGGCAGCCAACAAGUUCAUCAAUAUCUCUAUUACGGCCAUCGCUAUCUUCCAUUUCACAAUAUGUGCUUUCUUAUAAUGUUAUCAUGCAGAUGCCAAUUCAUUUCUCUGUCCAUAUAUCUUUGAGAAGGUCGACAUAGCUGUUUGUUUGAGGCUCAACGUGAUACCAGCCUUUGAUUCAAGCUUUGCUUUUUGUUUUCCCAGGAGCCUUAGCUUUUAGUGUUAUUAAUUUAUCAUGGAUGUUUGUUUUGUGUUCUUCACAUUCCAUGGACUACAAAGAAUAUGUGUUAUUCCAUUUAUAGUCGUUUGGUACAUCUAAAGUGGAGACCAGUGAAACAUAUAUAUGCAUUUGUUCA